UGCACUUGCAACACAAGUGAAGACCUUUUGGGUCAUCACAUUACCUCUAUGCCGAGUGACUUUUCUGAGUAUAGUGAGAUCAUACACAUUUUUUAAUAUGUAAAUCAGUAGUACACCAUCAUAUCAGCUUUGAAAAAAACUUUCUUUUUUGCAUGGGGAAUUCAGACUCCAAAUCUGCACAAGUUAUCUUUUUUACUUUGUUUAAGUUUCUCCCUGAGUUUUUUCUCCUUGCUUUUCCUUUGUCUUCCUUUAAAAUUUCAAACAUUGCCUCAGUUUCUGGUUGCUUUCUCCUUUGAAUUGUUUGUCUUAAUCCAGCCUUAGCAGCCUAAUCACACAUUUCCAUCAGUGGAGAGUGUGUGGACCUUUCACCCUUGCUGUUAUACUUGAAUUUAACAAUUUCCGUGUAAUCUUAAAAGUUAACAUGAGCCACCAUCCGGUAUUUGUAGAGAAUCUUGUAUCCUCAUCAUAAGUGAUUAUGCUAGAUUGAUUUAAGUUUCAUAUGGAGUGGGAGUCUUGCAUGCCAAUUUCAGUUGAUCUUCUUGCAGAGGGAACUGCAACGAGAACUUGAGCAAGUUGAAUCUGGAGUUAGACCAUCGAGGCGAGAAUUUUCAUCCACACACAGUAGUAGGCCACGAGAAAGAUACCGUGAAAGGGAAAAUGGAAGAGCAGGUAAUGAGGGGACCAAAACAAGCACGGGGAUAACACAGCCUGAAACUGCAACGAGCUCAUCAAUGGUUACCAUGCCUACUGUGGUUCUAUCAGGGGCUAGGCAAUUCUCUGGCCAACUUCCAACUAUUUUGCAAUCCCGCGACAGAUCAGAUGAAUGUGGCAGCAGCUACGAAGAAAACUUUGAUGGUAGUAAAGACUCGGGGGACACGGGAAGUAUCGGGGAUGCAGACUUGGUAUCAGCACUUGAGGGACCGUCCAUGGGCUUUGGGUCGUCUCAAAGGCAUGGUAUCCGGGGGAGUAAGUCUAGGCAAAUUGUGGAACGAAGAGAACGGGAUGGCAGGCGGGAAGGUAAAUGGGAGAGAAAACAUUAGGAAGCACCAACAAGAUCAAUGGCCAUUGCCUACCAACUUUGACAGACUAUACACUUCCAUGACAGGUAGUACUGUAGUAGUGCUAUAGAAUGGUUAUUAAUUUUUGGAUAACCAUUUAUUAGCAUUAGUAAAAAUGUUGUUGUAGCCUUGUAGGUAUAAAUUAUCUGUAGAGAAGAAGCUCUAGGAAGACUGUAAAAUCAGGACAAUUUCCUCAUUGUAAAAGUGAACUUAAAUCCGUUACCUAAAUUAAUUGUACCAUGAUCCAUUGUAAUGACAUGUGAGUUUUAUGUUAAGAUCUUAUAAAUCUCUCGCUUUUGCUCUUA